AACGCAACCCAAUCCCCUCGUCCCGCACGCCGUGCACACUCCGGUCCCCUCAUCCCGCACGAACCCUAGAAGAGAGAUAGGAAGAUGAGAGGGAGAGAAAGGGGAGAGGAGAGGAGAGGGAGGUCCGGCAGCGGACGGGAGAAGGUGACCGGCCAGCGUCGGCCUACACCGGCGAGGCGUCGGCCUGCGCCCCGCCUCCUCGCUGCUCCGUUUACUCCACCGAUUUCUCUCCGGCUGCCGGCCUCCCAGCCCCCCCACCUCGCAAUGGCAUUUCCUAAGGAUCAGCGCGAGCAAGGCCAACAGGCGGAAGGAGCGGAUCGUGGCCUCGCACGCUGGCUCGUCAUCUGCUUUGGCACCUUUCGGAUCCGCGCUGCUGCGUGCGAUGGUUCUAAAUCAGUGCAGGACGUCGCCGCCGGAUAGUAGGGCCGACGGAUUCUUCGCAUCGGGGGCUGGCUGGCAGGGGAGGGUCAGGAGGCCGGCAUGACUUGCUAACGAGUAGAGGUUGAUUAUCUUGACAUCCUCUCCUGCGUCCACUGUCGCGCCGUUCUGCCUUCGGCGAUUAAUUGAGCCUACUUCUCCUUUCCAGGUCGGGAUGGAGCAGCAGGCAUAGAUGAAAUCUACUGCCAAUUUCUAUUGGUUGCGGCAUCUUCCGCUGAGUAACUCUACAAAACAGCCUGCUAGCAUUGAUUCUUGCAAUAAAAAAAUAAGUCUGGCAUCAUUCAUAAUAAGCUUAUAGACUUAGAUAAUUUCUUAAUCCUGCACUGGUUCUCACCAGUGAGAUUGUAGAUGUGGUAUGUUGAGAAUACCAGUGCAAUUCACAGGUCCAAAAGCUCCAUUUCUUAAUGCGUUUUUGCAGAAUGCUACCAGUAAUGUUUUUCUUUUCCUUAAUGUACAAACAUAUCUAUUAGAUAUGAUUUUGGAUCUGAACUUUUCCCUGUCUGCAGCUCACAUUGUGGUAUGGUCAUGGUACAGCAAAAGGAAAAGAUGUUUAAACUUUUUUUGGGCGUCAUACAUGAAAAGUACCUUUAUUUCCAUCGAGCUUAAUUACUAAGAAAAUGUUACCACUAUUUCCUUACUACAACAACAACGAAAAUCUUUUGGGUUUCAUCUCCAUAAGAGUGGCUGAGUUUUUACGUUGGCUCGCCAAGCCUAUCACAACCCUCCUCCUUUACCCGGGCUUGGGACCGGCUAUGUUGAGACAACAUAGGCGGAGUUACCACUAUUUCCUUACUAAUAAACCUAAAUGUUCUGAAAGUUCGGUCUUUUGCUCUCUUUGCUUAUGAAUCGGACACUUUCCCUUUCUUUAGUCCUUACACGAUUCCACCUCGCUUUGACUGCAUACUUUGAUGGUGUUUGUAGGUAUGAAGAGUGGUCAUAAUGUUACUUAAAGGAGGCCUCAACUUGCACCAAAUACAUGGGCAUGUGCAACAGCAACUUAUGUAGGUUUCUAAAAACUAAUAAAUGCUGCUCUCAAAUCAGUUAGGAGGAUGAAGGUAGUAGCUUACUGAACUCUCAUUUCCGGAAAAAUCUGGAGAUGUCUUGGUAUGGAGUUUCAUGAUCAACUUGCUCCAGAAUAGUUAGUCUCUCUAGACUAAUUGUUUGUCAGUAUCUAUUCUAUACAUGUGUUUGAUUGGUUGUGCAAACAUGCAUGCAUUGGUCUGUGUGGAAAUUGCUUUAUCCGGUCUGUUCUAUAGCAAUGUUUCUAGUGGCUGUUUAGCACAUAUAUUUAGAUAGUUGCAUACGCAUGCUUCGUUCUGCCAGAAAAUUAUCUUCCCUGAUAUGUUUUCAGAUGCUAUUUGGUAUACAUGUUUGUCUUUGUCAUCUUUAUGUUGAGUUGUGGGUUCCAAAUAUAUUUAUGAUGAUCGUUUGCAUGGUGGGUCAUGUCAGCGAUGUGCGUUGCAUAUUCAUGAUUCAAACUCUUUGUUGGGUAUAUAUCUAUAUGAAGUUGUUUUUGAAUGGCCCAUGAUUCGUUUUUUAUUAGCAUUUUAGUUUAAGCAUUUCUCCAGAGAAUCUUGAUAUCCAACUGUAUAUAUAUCCAGUCAUGUUUUUUUACUCUGACUGAUUUCUUUUUUUGUUCUGUUUUACAGUUUGUACAAUCUCUAAAGAUGGUGCUCCAUUGUUCUGUUAAUCAAGAUUUGUUCCCUCCUUUCUCACUAGCUGAUACGUGAUGACCGUUUGCAUGGGGGGUUAUGUUAACUAUAUUCUAUUCAUGAUUCAAACUGUUUGUUGGGUAAUUUAGUUUAGACAUUGUGUCCUGAGAAUCUUGAUAUCUAGCUGUAUCGGUACAAUAUAGUUUGUGAUUUUUCCCUCUGAAUUUAUAUAUCCACUCAGGUUGGGAUAGGUUAUGAGUAUUCUUAGUGUGGAAACAGCGGCAGUGCUGCACUUUCAUCAAAUGAUGAUAUGCCAACCUUGCGCCAUUUGGCUCUAUGUUACCCGAAUAAGAUAACAAAAUACACAUGCUCAAGUAUAUAUUUUCAAUACCCCCCUGAUGAUGCCUCAUUUCUUCAGAAUUUGAGGCUGUUCUUGAUAUGCCAGGUAGGUCCGGCUAUCGAGUCAACAAUUAUAUUUUGUACUGUGUGAUGAUACAUUAAUAAUCACACUUGAAUGUGUUACCUAAACCUGUCUUGCUUUUGUAUUUCAUCCUCCUUUGAACCAUCCAAUGACUUGUUCACUACAAAUGAUAAGUGUGAGGUGUACAGAAACCUGCACCUUAUAUUCCUGUCUUGCUUUUGUAUUAUAUCCCCCUUUGAACCAUCCGAUGACUUGUGCACUACAAACGAGAAGUGUGAGGUGUACAGAAACCUGCACUUCAUAUUUCUUACAUUCCUGUUUUAUUUAAUGUCUGAGCCUCUUUAUAUUGCUUACAUGUGUGAUUUAUCUAAUCUCUGAGCAAGUGUGAAUGUUUAUAAUUGGGUUAAUAAGCCCAGUUGUUUGAAGAAGCAAUUUGCAUUUCAGAUUUUAGGAUUGUACUAAUUCUUCUAUCCAUUUUUGAUUUGCCCCUGCCAUUGUAGAAGUAUGAGUGGGUUGACUUUUCUUGACGUGUAUUUUAUACAACGAGCAACUACCUUGCGCCGUCUUCCAGCCACCAACAACCCCAUGACCCUGCAUCAGGUCAAAAAAAUAUUCAAUAAUUAUUUCUUAUGCAGGGUCAUUGAAUUGUUGGCUUCAGACAUGCUGUACUGUUGGGCUUCAAGCGUACUUCGGUUCUAAACUUAUCCCUUUUCCCUUCAUUUUUCUAAGACUGUAGUGUUGGGCAUUAAGUAGGAGUAGUUACUUAUACUAAGGAGCAGAUAUGUAUGACAUGUUAAUUUCACUUAUUUUUGGAACGAAGGUCUCACUUCAUUUAUAUUAGUCCUUGACGUCUGUGUUCUUGAUUGUGCAAAAUUGUUCCUUUCUGGGUAGAUGAAAGUCCAGAUUCCACUAAAGGAAGAUUUAGUAGGCUUUCUGUUACAUGUUGCUAAAAGUAAAUGAAUCGAAUUCUUUCUGUUUUGGUUCAGGACAAAUUUGAUUUUGGGAAGACAAAGGUCUGACAAGGAUGAGAAUGGGAUACCAGAUUACACCGACGGAGGCUCGGACAUGGAUCUGCUCCUGCUCUUAGCGGGAAUACUGGAUGUUCUUGAAGCUUUGCCAUACACACGUGCUACUUUUGGCACUUGCGUGGGCUCCUGUUUGUGUCAAUGCAAUUUGCAUCUGUCAGCGGAUUAUGGCGACCUUGGUUAUUGGCCUACAGGGUGCUCCACCGAUGGUGAAAAUACCUCACAGGAUGAUGUUGGAUAUUAUUCUACAAACUUCGGGCCUACCGGUGGCUGAGUAUCGAAGCAAAAUGUGACAGUGGCAUGAUGUGGAUGAAUAUAAUUUCCAUACAUCAACAUUAUCUUUUGGAGAUAAAAUAGCCGUAUGGCUAUUACAUGAGACCAUGUCAGAAGACCCUGCUGCUAUGGAAGCAAAAUGAUUCAUGAAAUCUGCGGUGAAAACAGAGAUAAGAUACUACAAUUACAGCAGCAUUGAGAAAUCAAGGACACGAAAUGAGUCUGAAAAAUGCUAUGGGCUAAUUCGUUGUAGCUAGGCGAUGUGUGGUGGAAGCUGUACUCACAGGAAGACUAUCGUGCUAUGUAUAAACCACGUUCUACGAUUCACUUUUGUUAUGCAUAUUUACUUUCCAGUUUUAGGACUGAAAUCCAUCCAUUUUAAUGAAUUUGGUUGUAUGGGCAUUACCUAUUUGACUUAGGCUUGCUUCAUCACAUAUAGACUGCUUUUCUUUUCCCACUGCUUGUAUGACCUAAAACUAUCAUGUAUAUGAGGCAAGUUAUUAGCAAUGUUUUACAUUUUCUUA